rnacentral:lncRNA from 1 species
UUUAUUAUAGCAAAGAUAGAUAAUCAUUUAUAAGUUAAACCAAGAGUUCUGGAGCUCCAAGUUAUUCUUGUGUUUUCCUCAUCAAGAUCUUAUGUUAACAGUGGAUCUGGCUGUCGGGUCAGUCUAACAUCAAUCUGAAAACUCGUAUACAGACUCUUUCACCGUCUGCUUGACAAAACUCCAAGAUUUACCAGGGAAAUGGAUGGAGGAACACAUCUUCUCUUUCCCAAUGGUACAUGUGUGACUGUGGGCAAAGCCAUAUGGAGAGAACCAAUGGCCAUAAAGAAAAAAAUCUUUGGAGUUGCUCGGUGGCUCAGGGGAUUAAGGAUCCAGUAUUGUUAUUGCUGUGGCUCGGGUCACUGCUGUGGCGCAGGCUUGAUCCCUGGCACCAGAACUUCCUCAUGCCACAGGUGAGGCAAGCAAGCAAGCAAGCAAGAAAGAAAGAAAGAAAGAAAGAGGGAGGGAAGGAAGGAAAUGAAUAAAAGAAAAGAAAAAAAACUUUUACAUGUAAUUUCUCAUUUAAGAAAAUAACAUUAAUUUUUUAUUAAUUGCUUUUCAUGGGUCAUCUCAUUUAGUCAUCUCAAAAAAUGUGCAGGAGGUAUUAGUUUUAUCACACUAACAGAUGAGGAAGCAGAGGCAGACAACUUGUAGAAGGUCACCUGGUCCCUUGGUAGAUAGUGGAGCUGGGAUGUAAGUGCAGCCAGUCUGGCUCUGGUCCCCAUGCUCUUCACAACUACACUGCAGCUGCCAGGAAGACUCCUAAGGUCGGAAGAGCUGCUGGUUAAAAAAAGACAAGACAAGAUUGGUACAAUGGGAAAAACCAACAACCAGGACCUGGGUUUUUGGAAAUUAGCUAGAUUUAUGGGAUACUCACCAUGAUGUCUAGACAAACACUGACAGAAGAGGUCUAGAUAUGAUCAUUACCGGGAAAGUAACCACCCUUAAGCACUUAGGAAGGAGAAGGGGAGACAGCUGGAGUCUUGGGCAUUUGACAAGCUGAGUAGUUGCUAGGUGCCAGGCGUGCUUAGGAGCAUUGUUUUUAGACCUCUUGACAACAGAAAGAAGUAGAUAUUAAAGCCCCAUUUAAAAAAAAUGUAAUAGAUUUUGUUUAUUAGAGAAGCUUGAGGUGUACAGAAAAAACUGUGCAUAUAGUAUAGAAUUUCCAUAGUUCCCAUAUACACCCCUCCCCUCAGUUUACCUUAUUGUUAGCAUCUUGCCUGAGCUUGGUGCCUUUGUUACAAUUGAUGAGCUGGUAUGAUACUUCGUUAGUAACUAAAGCCCACCAUUUACAUUAGGGCCCACUCUUGUGUUACCCGGUUCUGCAAGUCUUGACAAACAUAUAGUGCCAUGUAUCUACUAAUACAGUAUCUCGGAGAAUAAUUUACUGUCCUCAGAAAUCCCCGUGCUCUACCCAUUCACCCCCUCUCUCUCUUUCUUCCCUCUGUCAACUGAUUUUUUUUUUUUUUUUUUACUAUAUCUAUAGUUUUGCCUUUUCCAGAAUGCCAUGUAGUUGGAAUCACACCUUUUUCAGGCUGACUUCUGGCUUUUUUCAUUUAGCAAUGUGCAUCUCAUAUAGAUUGAUAGCUCAUUAAUUUUUUACAGUAUAAUAUUCCAUUGUAUGGGGGAGUUCCUGUCAUGGCACAGUGGAAACAAAUCUGACUAGGAACAUGAGUUUGCGGGUUCGAUCCCUGGCCUUGCUCAGUGGGUUAAGGAUCUGGCGAAAGAAAUAGAGCCAGACCUUCUGGUCAAAGGCUAGGACUUUCCUCCUCUAUAACGGUUGAGGAGGAUUAGGAAAAAACCCGGGUGAGUGGCAGAUAAUAGUGUAAACUGAGGCACUUGGUGAGUCAACCCACAUGUUUCAUUUUCCUUCUGAAGUUGUCUAGUUGUAUUUUCAUUGUGCAAAAUGGAUGCUUCUAGAAGAGUCAACCCCAGCGGAGUCAUAUAGCUCCCUAAAAGUGAGAAAAGUUGCUUCAGGAAAGACAAGUACUCUAUGCCCUGGGCCCCAGGUUGACAAAGUGAAAUAUCUUUGGAGCACUGACAGCUUAUUAUUACCUGAGGGAGUAUUGCUUUCAGGAGCCCUGCAAAGGAUCUAUCGACUGCACAAAUCACCAUCCAAACUCCCCUCAGGACCUCCAUUCCUCUCAUUUAAGGGAUUUGAAUUCCUGUUGAGGAUCCAACCCUCUGGGAAGGAAAGCAGUUCUGCUUUAACUGUGAAUAAGGCACCAAGAGCCAAGUGAGAAGGUGAGAAGGUGAAAAAUUGGGACUCAAGGAAAAGAGGAUGAGAGAGAGAGCGCAGGAUGGGGCUGGAUGCUAAGUAGGAGUCGCUCUUCCCUAAACUAAGCUGGCUCCUGCCUUCCACAUGGAGGGGACCACACCAGUGUAAACCCUUUGGGUCUCCCGUGUCCUAACUCAUGGAAGCAGAAUGACCAUUGAUUAGUGAAUCAGUGAAACCCAGCCUGCUUCUCUCCUCUCCUCUUCAGAGUGAGUCACUGGGUACAGAAAUUUCCCGUCCUUCUCUCUGUAGUACGUGUAACAUGUGAGGGCGUCUGGCCAUCCAGCAAAGCCUGUGCCUGUGGCUGGGGGUAGGUAGAGGUCUGAUUAUCUCUGUGUUCUAUAUUAGGAAGGGAUGGCGCAGGUAAAAGCCACGUUCCCUAAUAUCAGCUUUGCAAGUGGUAAAGGUGACAUUUUGGUCUAUGUCUGCUUUACUAUUUUAUCUGUUUCUAGUUGGUUCAGAAUGAAUGAGGAAAAGGAAAGUGAUAUUUUCUGGGUGCUCACCAAACCCAAUUCAUGGGAAACCAGAGACCACCUUUAUCCAUUUACAAAUUUCCUUAUUUAUGGCUUUUUCCCCAAGGAUGCCUUGAACUUUGACAAUAGGAGAUGGAGUAAGGAGUUAGAGGAUGACAGAGAGGUCUGAGGAGGGUCACCAAUAGUAUAACUACUGUGGCCUCAUUGAAUUCUUAUGGAGGUAGUAGCUGUGACUUUCAUAUUGUCACAUCCAUCUUAUAGACAAAGAGUAGGAGGACUCACCAAGGUCACAUAGCUAGUAAGGGGCACAUCUGAUUCUUGCUGAUUCCAACCCCUCUGCUUGCCCACUGCAUUUCUCCGGGAAGGGUUUGUGUCUUCUUUCUCCCGUGUUCUUUGCAUCUCCCCUUCCCUUUCAUCCCUGCUGCCACUUCCCUACCUCGGGCUCAUGUCUGGCUUGUCACCCUAGGCCCCCUCAACCUCUGUCCCUCCCUUCCACAAGACUAGCUCUCCUAAGCUCAUUUAAUAUGUGCCUUUUCAGAUCCCAGAUCAUUCUCAUGGGCUACAUCAGCUCCUAAAAUGUGAUUGUCCCCUGAAGAAACGGAAUAUUCAUCAGUAGCUCCAAUUUAGAGCCCCAAACCUGACCUGGUAUGAACUAUUUACACUGACGUCACGCAAGUCAUUUCAACCUUCUUUGAAUAAAAACACUCAUUUCCCCCCUUCUGAUAGUUAUGAUAAUCCACUCAAUGAUCCCAUUUCUUCAUGCAGAAUUGUAAACUGUCCCCUUGUGGGAGCACCACACACCCUGCACUGUUUGCUUGUCCUUGGACAUCUCUGUAAACUCCUCAAGGAAGGAGAUCAGAGAUGUAUCCCCUGAGCCCAGCAGAGUGCAGGGAAGAUAGAAAUUGCUCCACAGAUACCUGUUAAGUGAAUUAAAUGAGUUCCCUUUUGCAUUUCUUACAAUAUCAGGCAUGAUAGUUCCAACUUAAUAUGUGGUUCUCAAAUGCUUUUGAAUAAAUGAAAAAAUACUUAUUUAAAUACUGCAAAUAAAUAAAUAAAUGAGAAGGCAAC